rnacentral:rRNA from 1 species
ACUCCUACGGGAGGCAGCAGUAGGGAAUCUUCCACAAUGGGCGCAAGCCUGAUGGAGCAACACCGCGUGAGUGAAGAGGGGUUUCGGGCUCGUAAAGCUCUGUUGUUAAAGAAGAACACGUAUGAGAGUAACUGUUCAUACGUUGACGGUAUUUAACCAGAAAGUCACGGCUAACUACGUGCCAGCAGCCGCGGUAAUACGUAGGUGGCAAGCGUUAUCCGGAUUUAUUGGGCGUAAAGAGAGUGCAGGCGGUUUUCUAAGUCUGAUGUGAAAGCCUUCGGCUUAACCGGAGAAGUGCAUCGGAAACUGGAUAACUUGAGUGCAGAAGAGGGUAGUGGAACUCCAUGUGUAGCGGUGGAAUGCGUAGAUAUAUGGAAGAACACCAGUGGCGAAGGCGGCUACCUGGUCUGCAACUGACGCUGAGACUCGAAAGCAUGGGGUAGCGAACAGGAUUAGAUACCCUGGUAGGAUAGCG